rnacentral:rRNA from 1 species
CCUACGGGUGGCAGCAGUGAGGAAUAUUGGUCAAUGGACGAGAGUCUGAACCAGCCAAGUAGCGUGAAGGAUGACUGCCCUAUGGGUUGUAAACUUCUUCUAUAAAGGAAUAAAACGAGGCACGUGUCCCUUUUUGCAUGUACUUUAUGAAUAAGGAUCGGCUAAUUCCGUGCCAGCAGCCGCGGUAAUACGGAGGAUCUGAGCGUUAACCGGAUUUAUUGGGUUUCAAGGGAGCGUAGAUGGGUUGUUAAGUCAGUUGGGAAAGUUUGCGGCUCAACCGUAAAAUUGCAAUUGAUACUGGGAGUCUUGAGUACAGUUGAGGUAGGCGGAAUUCGUGGUGUAGCGGUGAAAUGCUUAGAUAUCACGAGGAACCCCGAUUGCGAAGGCAGCUUACUAAACUGUGACUGACAUUGAGGCUCGAAAGUGUGGGUAUCAAACAGGAUUAGAUACCCGGGUAGUC